GACGAACGCUGGCGGCGUGCUUAACACAUGCAAGUCGAACGGAAAGGCCCUGCUUUUGUGGGGUGCUCGAGUGGCGAACGGGUGAGUAACACGUGAGUAACCUGCCCUUGACUUUGGGAUAACUUCAGGAAACUGGGGCUAAUACCGGAUAGGAGCUCCUGCUGCAUGGUGGGGGUUGGAAAGUUUCGGCGGUUGGGGAUGGACUCGCCGCUUAUCAGCUUGUUGGUGGGGUAGUGGCUUACCAAGGCUUUGAAGGGUAGCCUGCCUGAGCGGGUGACCGGCCACAUUGGGACUGAAAUACGGCCCAGACUCCUACGGGAGGCAGCAGUGGGGAAUAUUGCACAAUGGGCGGAAGCCUGAUGCAGCAACGCCGCGUGCGGGAUGACGGCCUUCGGGUUGUAAACCGCUUUCGCCUGUGACGAAGCGUGAGUGACGGUAAUGGGUAAAGAAGCACCGGCUAACUCCGUG
rnacentral:rRNA from 1 species